GUCUCCUUCGUCUAGUGGUUAGGACAACGGGUUUUCAUCCCGUCAACACCAGUUCGAUCCUGGUAGGAGAUG
rnacentral:tRNA from 2 species